rnacentral:rRNA from 1 species
CAGGGGGGGCAAGCGUUGUUCGGAAUUACUGGGCGUAAAGGGCUCGUAGGCGGCCAACUAAGUCACACGUGAAAUCCCCAGGCUUAACCUGGGAACUGCGUGUGAUACUGGAUGGCUUGAAUUCGGGAGAGGGAUGCAGAAUUCCAGGUGUAGCGGUGAAAUGCGUAGAUAUCUGGAGGAAUACCGGUGGCGAAGGCGGCAUCCUGGACCGACACUGACGCUGAGGAGCGAAAGCUAGGGGGGCAAACGGGAUUAGAUACCCCGGUAGUCCUAGCCCUAAACGAUGAAUGCUUGGUGUGGCGGGUAUCGAUCCCUGCCGUGCCGAAGCUAACGCAUUAAGCAUUCCGCCUGGGGAGUACGGUCGCAAGGCUG